GAGCCAAGUCGACUGGAAACUGUGUGUGGCCACAUGUGACAGCUCAAGGUGGAGAACGUGACAACCGACUCUUGACUUUUCACCCCCGGAAUUGCACUGUGGGAUACAUGUCCUCUUGCAAAGAAGGGAAUGAACAGGAUCCAAUAUAAUUUGACUGAUAUUUUACAGAGCAGCUUCCUCUCCAUUGAAGUCUCUGUAACUACUUGGAUAGAUACUGUUGUCUGAGAGAAAAUAGCAGCCCGAGGAGGUGAAAGAACUCCUUCUUAGACACACUUCCAGCUAGACCGACUUCCUGAUUCCUGUCUGAGACUUCCUUGAGAUCAUUCUGUCUCUUAUGUUUGUCUAGCACUUACAGUGUACUUACUAGGCACUGCUCCAGAAACUUCAAACAUGUUAAUUCACUUCCUUCUGACAUCAUCUCCUCGAAGCAGAUAACCGAAUCACCCUCAGAAGGAGGGAAAUGGGGCAUAGAGAAGGACUGAAGGUACAUUAUAGGGUACAUCCCAUCAAAGGGCUCCCAAAAUAUCCAGCCAUCCUGCUAAAGCUGGCCAGCGACCUGCAGACCUUCAGAAAACUGAGGGACAUAAAAUGAGUUUCUCUCGAAAGAUUCCGCGAUCUUUAUCUUGGAAAACACUAGGAAGGUAAGGGCAAGUUUUAAACACUGUGAGAGUUGGCUUGACCCAGCUGAUGGAAAAGGAGAAUAUUCACAGUGUAACUUGGCUUUUCCUCUCCCCCUUCAAGAGCCUUGUUGUACAACAGCCUGAGCUAAACACGCUGUGUCAAUCUCAUCUUUUACAUUUCCCGGGUGUUUUCUUCUUAGAUCAUGCAACAACCCUGUCAUUAUUUUAAAUAUUUCUGCCUGUAAAUUGCAGAAUACUUGAUCUGAUUUUAAUAGGACCCAUGUGUGAAAUCCUUUACUUUUUUUUUUUUAAAUUCAUCGUUCUGAUUCUUUCUGCUCUUCAGUACAGCACAGCUUGGUAGCACUAGGUACGUCUUGUUGAAAGUAUGUCCAUAAAUAUGUCCCUUGCAGCAUGGAACAGCUUGUUAAAUUGGCAGUCCUCAGCAGUUUGCCUAGAAAAGUUUGCCUCACUUGUGAUAGUCCAAAUGUAGGGCAGAACACAGCGUAACUUUUUUUAUCUAAUUUUACCAAUUGACAUAUUCUUCAAAUUUUUUAACUACCUCGUGCCUUUCUCUCACAGUGCCACCGCUUGACUGGAAAAAGUGGCUGAGCGCUCUCCCAAGGGCUGUGUGUGGAUAGGGAAAUCACCUGGGUUCUCAGCAGAUCGCAACCUGGGGACAAUGCAGUCACUUAAGCAGAACCUCCAAGCUGUUGUGGAAACAGGGUUCAGAUAGGGCUGACACCACCGACUCUGUCCCUGAGGUGUGGUGGUGCUGUUUUCCACUGUGGCAAGGGUGGGACUCAUCAUUUUUAGUCAAAUAUCACGGAUUUCUUUAUUGAUUAUGGGCGGUAUUCUUCAUGAUGCUCUGUUACUGAUGCGGAUAUCUUUACAUCCUCUGAUUUUCAUAUCUCUCCAUGAGGAUCCUAUUGGACUCAGGAAUGGCUUGUCUAGAAGGACCCUUGACCCCGAAUUUAAUGUCAUAGGAUGAGCUUUCAAGGUCACAGAUGUUAGUCAUCACCUCCAAGAGGAGGCACUGUUUUCUCCCCCGUAAUAUUUGAAGCACCCAGAGCUACCACCCUCAUCUUCGAUCCUUGAGACACCAGAGAGGGCUCCCUGCCAUCUUAUCAUCAUGCGGUUCAAAAUUUGUCAAGUGCCAUCCUAGGGGAAAACCACACAAGAAAACAAAAAGGAACAGCACACGCCCGAACAUUGAUUCUGUCCUGUGGGGGCACAGUGCGACACAGAGACUGUGCUCUGAGUUCCUGUCUUGGUGUCCACACUUUCCAGAUGGUUCUAUGUGCUUUAGGAUUGGUACCUAGUUGUCAUCUGGGAGGUUUCACCCAGCAACUGAUGGAAACAGAUGCAGAGACCCACAGCCAAACAUGAGGUGGAUCUUAAGGAUCUUGUAGAAGAGGGAGAGGAAGGAUUAUGGGAGCCAGAUGGGCCAACGACACCACAGGAAAACCAACAGAAUAACUUGGCUUCAUAGAGGCUCACCGAGACUGAAACACCAACCAGGGAGCCUGCUUGGGGACUGUAUGUGUGUUACUGUUGUGUAGUCUAUACUUCUGAGACCCCUAGUAGUGGGCACAGGGGCUGUUUUCGACUCUGUUGCCUGCUUUUGGGACCCUUUCCUCCUACUGGGUUGCCUCAUCCAGCCUCAGUAGCAAAGGAGGUUCUUAAUCUUACUGCAAAUAGACUAUCAUGGCUGGCUGAUAUACAUGGGAGGCCUGCUCUUUUCUAAAGAGAAAGAAAGACGAGUGGACUGGGGGUGGGGAGCGGAGAUUGGCGGGAGGGACUGGGAGGAGAGGAGGGACAGAGGGAAAUGUGAUAUGGUUGGGGAAAAUUUAAUUAAUUAAAAAAUUUAAAAAUAAUAGAUUUUAUUCUUUGAAAUUUUCAUGCAUUUAUAUAAUAUGUUUAACAUAUCCAGAGGCUGCUCUUCUUAAAGAACUACUCCAGGAGGUAUUUCGGGAAAAUAAUUUAGAGAAUAUUCUGAGCUAUGUAUACUAAAAAUCACGGAAUGAGGUGAGAGGUCUAUAUUUCAGCUGAGUGAUCCAAUGAGCAAACCAGUUGGUUUAAAGGACUCCUUUAUAAAACUUCCUCCCCUCCUCAACUUGCCUGGUUUCCUUGCUGUCACUGAUGUUUGGUGUGAUAUUCUAAGGCAAUCAUGGUUUAUAAAGAGUCAUCUUGUUGAGAGUUUAAAGGAAAGAUGUUCAUUUCUUGCUCCUGUGAUUGUUGUGUGUGUGUAUGUAUACACACACAUAUAUGUAUAUAUACUCAUUUUUCCAUUUUUAACUGUUUUCCAAUUACAAAAUAAGUAAUAUCUGCUUCAAGCAUUGGUGGUUUAAAAUUAAACGAGGCUCAAAUGUCAGGAUCCGUUCGUUUAUAAUUGAACUGGUGGGGAAAGGGAAGCAGAGACAGUAGAUUGUCCUGAGAGAGGGUGUGCUCCCUGUCACAGGGCCACCACCAAGGAUGAUUUAUGAUUCCCCCCCCCCAAUGUUUCACUUCCCUGUCCUAUCACAGACUGUCACCCACAAAGGACACAUUCUUGGGAAGGAAUGACAAAGUCUGACUUUGGGUAGCUGUCUUCUUUGGGUAGCUGUCUUUCCCCCCCCUUUCACUUAAAUUUCAGUGUUUACUGCUUAGCAGUCUUCAGUUUGACACUCAGCAGACAGAAACUGGAUUCUUGUGAGGAUUAAGGGAUUAUUCACUCACCAGCUUAAUCAGAUUAAUCAUAGAUUUUGAACAAGAUAUCUAAUGCCAUUUGCAGGAUGGGACGUGUGACCCCUUCUUGCUAGUUGACUUUGGCUUGAGCACAAAGACUCGUACAUGUGCACACAGAAGCGCCCGUGUACACACAGAUGUACAAACAUAUGUACAUAGGAUCGUAGGUACAAAAUCAUGGUCUUACAAAUUUUACCAUCACUUAAAGAAACAAUUUAAAUUUUGUAAUUAUGAUUAGUUUCUACUUCCUAUUUUACCUAAGGCCAGAAAGACAGAGAUUACAUGCCUGUAUAUUGUUUGAUGCUAUUUGGACUCGUUAAAGGUUAUUUAAAUUUACUUUUGGAGAUGGCCUUUUUUUGGCAAGUCAUUUAAAAAUCAUUUUAAAAAGAAAUCUGUAAGGAGGUAUAAUUAUUUCCAUAUUCACAUUCCUAUCAUGCAGACUUUAAAAUUUGAAUAUUACUAAUUGAAAUUAUGGUACCAAAAGAAAUAUCCAGAAAGUAGAUGAUUAUUAUUUCAAUUAUUGCUCUUUCAUUCCUAUUAGGAGCUUAAGCCCCAGUCUACAUUUAUUUAAUAAGCUCCUUUUCCCCUUGCAGAAACAGGAGGCAGCAAAAACCCUUUGUACUGCAGAGGUAUUAAAUGAGGAUUGGGACCAACUGGCCCAUUGUAUGAACUCUUAUUUUAAAGUAGUCCAAGUUAAGCAGAUUUUGUUGGAUUUACUUUUAUUUGGGUCUUAUGUUAUUUACGAGAUAAACAUCGUAAUAUUGGAAAUAUUCUUAAAGACAGAAAGGAGAAAAUUAAAGAGUGAACCCUGUUUGUCCACACCAUUAUUCUGAGACAUUGGAGCCAAGAACCCCUGAGGCCCCCAGGAGCAGAACUGAGAUCUGUCUCCAGAUUGGCUGCGUGGUUCGGCAUUCCACAGAUUUUUAUGGCUUGCUUUCCAGCUGGAAUCAAACUUGUUUCUGGCAUUACACAUUUAUUAUACAAUCUUUACUAAUCUGUUUAUAAUGCUCAUUAAUGUUUGUCUGGUGUUGAGUUUUUAAAAAUUAAACCUCUCUCUGUAUGAGAGGGGAGGAAGAGAAGGAGGGAGAGAAGAGAAGGAUGAAAAGAGGAAGAGAGAGAGGAAGAGAGAGAGAGAGAGAGAGGCAUGUCCAUGUGUCUGAGUGUUGGACAGCCUUGGAUAUUGCUUGGUCUUCAUUGUCUAUCUCCAGACAGAAUCUCCUGGUGCAUGUGCCAGGUUGCCUUGACCAUGAGCUUCUGAGAGUCUCCUGUCCCUGCUUCAUAUCUGCCCCAGGAAUGACAGAAUGAAAGAAGUGUGUUAGCACAUUUGGCUCCACAUGACUCUGAGAGACGGAACUCAGGACUUCACACUCUGUGGUCAGAGCUUUGUGCACACCUAACCAUCUCCACAUCUUUAGACACUGACUUUAGUGUAAGGUAAAUAAUGUUUAAGCUGGAUACUGUUAACACUGAUAAUGUUUAGGCUGGAUAGAUGUUUAUAGUUUUCAAGUCCUUUUGCAGAACUAUGAACUUCAAAGGUAUUCUAAUGUGCAUUUCACCAUUGGGAAGACAAGCAGAAAGAACAGUGCUUUACCCAAAGCCUGUGGUAGGGUUAGCACCAAUAACAAAUAGUAUGAUGCCAUUCCUUUCAGGUUCUGUUUGGAGUGUUUUCUAUGAAUUGUGGGUGUGUAGAAAAGCAGAUGUAUUCAUUUUGCAUGAGGAAUGAUGUGUGAGGGCAGAUAAAGAGGAGAGAGGAGAGACAGACACAUAAACACACACACACACA